rnacentral:rRNA from 1 species
UACGGGGGGGGCAAGCGUUGUUCGGAAUUACUGGGCGUAAAGGGCUCGUAGGCGGCCACCUAAGUCAGACGUGAAAUCCCCAGGCUCAACCUGGGAACUGCGUCUGAUACUGGAAGGCUUGAAUCCGGGAGAGGGAUGUGGAAUUCCAGGUGUAGCGGUGAAAUGCGUAGAUAUCUGGAGGAACACCGGUGGCGAAGGCGACAUCCUGGACCGGUAUUGACGCUGAGGCGCGAAAGCCAGGGGAGCAAACGGG